rnacentral:rRNA from 1 species
CCUACGGGCGACAGCAGUGGGGGAUAUUGCACAAUGGGGGAAACCCUGAUGCAGCGACGCCGCGUGGGUGAAGAAGCGCCUCGGCGCGUAAAGCCCUGUCAGCAGGGAAGAAAAUGACGGUACCUGAAGAAGAAGCCCCGGCUAACUACGUGCCAGCAGCCGCGGUAAUCCGUAGGGGGCAAGCGGUAUCCGGAUUUACUGGGUGUAAAGGGGGCGCAGACGGCGAUGCAAGCCAGGUGUGAAAGCCCGGGGACCAACCCCGGGACUGCUCGUGGAACGGCGGUGCUAGAGUGCAGGAGGGGCAGGCGGAAUGCCUGGUGUAGCGGUGAAAUGCGUAGAUAUCAGGAGGAACACCGGUGGCGAAGGCGGCCUGCUGGACUGCAACUGACGUUGAGGCCCGAAAGCGUGGGGAGCAAACAGGAUUAGAUACCCUAGUAGUC